UGAUGUAUCAAUUACUCUUAUUCUAUUGCGAGUGAAGCAACCACGUAAACGGUUUCAGUUUAUUAGUUAAGAUGCUUGAUAUGAAAUCCAGUACCAUGCUAGCUAGUGCUAGGUCUUGUAGAAUUGCUAACUAUGUCAUGUAACGUCCUUUUCUUCUUUUUAAGCGGCAAACAUAUGUGACGUAACAUCUUUAUCCCGCGAAGACUUGAGGGAUCUUUUCCCGGGCCCUGAACAUUUUAUGAGAAGAAGGACAAUCUGGCUCACUUUCCAUUCUGAGGAAUCUGGGCAAGAACCUUUAUCAGCAUCCACCUCAACCUCCUCAAAUGAGUUGCCCUUGCCGCAGACGUCCACCCCUGUGAGAAGCCAGAGGAUCAGGACCCCUAAAAAAACAGUGAAGCUUCAUUCACCACAAUAUGUACUCUACACAGACUCUGAGUUGGAGUCUGUCCGACGAGAGUACUCAGAGCUGCAAAAAAUAGGGAAAGAAAAAGAAUGCGAAAUGUCCAAAGAUUUAAGGUGCAGAUUAAUUCGUAACACAAUGACAAGCAUGAUCUCCAUCUUGAGGGCAACAGGGGAUGAAGAUUCCCACAAGUAUCCUUCAAAAGAAGAAAUAACAGCUAUGGCGAAAAGAAUCGUUCAGUACUACCCCAUGUUAAAGGAUGAAGAUUUCUCAAAGAAAAAUUAAUGGGUAUGUGUUGAAUAGAGUAGUGCAAGCAUGCAAGUAAUUAAUGCCACAUUUCUUGGAAGUUUCUUGUAGUAGAUUUAAAAUGUUUCAUUCUUUAUCGUCCCAGGUCACAGUUUAUGCACAACUCUAUAAAAGGCUGUGGAACGUCCGAUCCCCCAUUUAAGAGCAGGGGCCCAGCCAAGAAGCUUCGUUUGGGGACUUCAGUUCUGAGUGAGGAGGAGUUUGGCUCCAGCGACUCAACCGUCCUUUUGGACACCAGUGACACCACUGACGACAGUUUUCUGGAUGUUGGCGGUAGCAAAGAUAACAGCCAUGAUGGAGUAGCAGACAGUCCAGCAUCCCAGGCAAGACAUUAUAAGAGUUUACAGGCUCUCUGGAGGAAGCCCAAUGCCAACAAAGAGUCUGUCACUCAACUGCUUGACUUGGAAUUUGAGGCUAGAAGGGCUUUCAUCGACUCAGAUGUAGUAAAGCAAGAUGAGCGACAUGUCAAAAUAAUGGAAGCCUAUCCUUGUUUUAGAGAAAUUGAACAUUUGAUGGAUGAGCUCCGGCGGAUUCUGCAGAGAGAUAACAUGGAUUUCAUAAGCGAAGUUAAAGAGAGAUGGGUAGAGUUCUGCAAACAAGUACAAUUCUACGGGGUGUUCAAGAAGGUUUUGAAAUCCCCAGUGGGGAUGAGCAAAGCUGAGCAAGCAAUCGAACUCAUGCACGCUUUGCCAGCGAUGUUUCCUAGUGCAUCACCACCUCCGAAGAAGAUGCGAGAUGCUAGUGAGGCGUUCAUUCAUGUUCUGAAGGAAAAAGAAGAUCCUGAAUCUUUCUUAAAAAAACGGCAUCUGUCCUGUCCUCUGCUGCUUGUGAGCGCUACCAACUGCAUCCUGGCGGUGGGGGACAAUCCAAUUGCAGAAUUCCAUAACGAUGAUCUCCAUGAGGGUAUGCUGUACAUAAUUGCUCUCUACUAUGCCCUUCACCUGACAUAUCCGAAGUGUGUCAGUACAUUGCUGUCGAUCAUACAGAGUGAGGUGCUAGGUGAUGCACUCCACCCACAAGACCAAACAAGCUCUUUUAAAAAGGGAUUAAGCGAGAUGAGGGCAUUUGUAGGGAACUAAUGCUCAUUGAUUGAAUGCUGGCAAAUUGUUUUAUUAUGUAUGCUGUUGUUUUUACACAUUCAAAUCUUAAAGUGUUACUCCGGCGUUCUGCGACCUAUAGCCAACAUAGACUGAAAUACGACAACAUAGACUGAAUAAUGGCCCAGCCGCUAAAGCUAACCCAGUGGGGCAUUUUCUGUUCAGUGGCAAGAAUGCGGUCAUGUCUCUUGGUGCACUCAGGCAAACUGAUAUGUUUUUAUUUCAUUUUUUACAAAUACUGGUAUGUAAACCACCUUUAUGCUGCCAUGUUUAAUUAUUGUGGUGAUUGUCAUGUGGCUGCAAUAAAUUUUGUCUGAGAGGUCA
ensembl:lncRNA